GAUGAACGCUGGCGGCGUGCCUAAUACAUGCAAGUCGAGCGAACGGACGAGAAGCUUGCUUCUCUGAUGUUAGCGGCGGACGGGUGAGUAACACGUGGAUAACCUACCUAUAAGACUGGGAUAACUUCGGGAAACCGGAGCUAAUACCGGAUAAUAUUUUGAACCGCAUGGUUCAAAAGUGAAAGACGGUCUUGCUGUCACUUAUAGAUGGAUCCGCGCUGCAUUAGCUAGUUGGUAAGGUAACGGCUUACCAAGGCAACGAUGCAUAGCCGACCUGAGAGGGGGAUCGGCCACACUGGAAAUGGACACCGGUCCCACCCCCUACGGGAGGCAGCAUGGGGGAACUUUCCGAAAUGGGGGAAAGCCUGACGGGGCAACGCCGCGGGGGUGAUGAAGUUUUUCGGAUCGUAAACCUUUUUUAUUAGGGAAGAACAAAGGUUUAAGUAACUGUGCACAUCUUGCCGGUACCAAAUCAAAAAGCCACGCCUAACUACGU
rnacentral:rRNA from 1 species